rnacentral:rRNA from 1 species
GAAACUUACCAGGCCAGGACAAUUAAAGGAUUGACAGAUUGAUAGCUCUCUCUCGAUAAAUUGGGUGGUGGUGCAUGGCCGUUCUUAGUUGGUGGAGUGAUUUGUCUGGUUAAUUCCGAUAACGAACGAGACUCCGACCAAUUAUUGAUGUAGCCGCAUAAAGAUCAACGAUAGCUUAGGCGUGUCAACGAUCGCGGUUGCAAAAAGAUAUGGGAUUAGCUAUAGUAAAUAGCACGAGAUAGGGCAAUAA